GAUGAACGCUGGCGGCGUGCCUAAUACAUGCAAGUCGAGCGAACAGACGAGGAGCUUGCUCCUCUGACGUUAGCGGCGGACGGGUUAGUAACACGUGGAUAACCUACCUAUAAGACUGGGAUAACUUCGGGAAACCGGAGCUAAUACCGGAUAAUAUAUUGAACCGCAUGGUUCAAUAGUUAAAGACGGUUUUGCUGUCACUUAUAGAUGGAUCCGCGCCGCAUUAGCUAGUUGGUAAGGUAACGGCUUACCAAGGCGACGAUGCGUAGCCGACCUGAGAGGGUGAUCGGCCACACUGGAACUGAGACACGGUCAAGACUCCUACGGGAGGCAGCAGUAGGGAAUCUUCCGCAAUGGGCGAAAGCCUGACGGAGCAACGCCGCGUGAGUGAUGAAGGUCUUCGGAUCGUAAAACUCUGUUAUUAGGGAAGAACAAAUGUGUAAGUAACUAUGCACGUCUUGACGGUACCUAAUCAGAAAGCCACGGCUAACUACGUG
rnacentral:rRNA from 1 species